CAGGCCUAACACAUGCAAGUCGAACGAAGCAGCAGUGAAGGAGGCUUCGGCCAAUGGAACUGUUGACUUAGUGGCGGACGGGUGAGUAACGCGUGAGCAACCUGCCUUUCAGAGGGGGAUAACGUUUGGAAACGAACGCUAAUACCGCAUGAAGUAUCUUUGCUGCAUGACAGAGAUACCAAAGGAGCAAUCCGCUGAGAGAUGGGCUCGCGUCCGAUUAGAUAGUUGGUGGGGUAACGGCCUACCAAGUCGACGAUCGGUAGCCGGACUGAGAGGUUGAACGGCCACAUUGGGACUGAGACACGGCCCAGACUCCUACGGGAGGCAGCAGUGGGGAAUAUUGGUCAAUGGUCGGAAGACUGAACCAGCCAAGUAGCGUGAAGGAUGACUGCCCUACGGGUUGUAAACUUCUUUUAUGCGGGAAUAAAGUGCCCCACGCGUGGGGUAUUGCAUGUACCGCGUGAAUAAGCAUCGGCUAAUUCCGUGCCAGCAGCCGCGGUAAUACGGAAGAUGCGAGCGUUAUCCGGAUUUAUUGGGUUUAAAGGGAGCGUAGGCGGAGGCUUAAGUCAGUGGUCAAAUCGUGUGGCUCAACCAUGCGUCGCCGUUGAUACUGGGUCUCUUGAGUGCACAUAAGGAUGGUGGAAUUCGUCGUGUAGCGGUGAAAUGCUUAGAUAUGACGAAGAACUCCGAUUGCGAAGGCAGCUGUCCGGGGUGUAACUGACGCUAAUGCUCGAAAGUGCGGGUAUCAAACAGGAUUAGAUACCCUGGUAGUCCGCACAGUAAACGAUGGAUACCCGCAGUCGGCGACACAAUGUCGGCUGCCAAGCGAAAGCAUUAAGUAUCCCACCUGGGGAGUACGCCGGCAACGGUGAAACUCAAAGGAAUUGACGGGGGCCCGCACAAGCGGAGGAACAUGUGGUUUAAUUCGAUGAUACGCGAGGAACCUUACCCGGGCUUGAAUUGCAGGCGACGGGGCGAGAGACCGCCCUUUCUUCGGACGCCUGUGAAGGUGCUGCAUGGUUGUCGUCAGCUCGUGCCGUGAGGUGUCGGCUCAAGUGCCAUAACGAGCGCAACCCCUGUCUCCAGUUGCCAUCAGGUGAUGCUGGGCACUCUGGAGAUACUGCCAUCGCAAGAUGUGAGGAAGGUGGGGAUGACGUCAAAUCAGCACGGCCCUUACGUCCGGGGCUACACACGUGUUACAAUGGGGGACACAGAGGGCCGCCACCGGGUGACCGGGCGCCAAUCCAUCAAAAUCCCUCUCAGUUCGGACUGGAGUCUGCAACCCGACUCCACGAAGCUGGAUUCGCUAGUAAUCGCGCAUCAGCCAUGGCGCGGUGAAUACGUUCSCGG
rnacentral:rRNA from 1 species